AGAGAGAGAAGAAAAUAAAAACCAGAACCUUUUUUUGCUUCGGUUCUCAUCUCCGUGAGAACAACAACAGAAGUAAGAUAAGGAAUUAAUGUUGUCGGCCUCCGGGCUGAUGUAAAAAUCCCCCCUUUGUAUGCUCUGUUGUAUGUACGUAUACCUGUACGUAUACGCCGGGAUUGGUCGGAUCAGCUCUGUGGCGAGGUUCUCGCCCGGUAUAUGUUUGUUUUUCAAGAAUUUGACUGGUAAAGGGCCCCCCUUUGAAUGCGAGGAAAUGGAGGUAGGAGGAAGGAACGAACUUCUAUGGGGUGAUCUCUGAUGUGGGUUUUGCUCAUCUGAAACCCUAGACCUCUUUACUCUUCAGCUGGAGGGUACGUCCCUUUGGCCCUCGAUUGAAGGUUAGGGCUGUGAUAGUGAUUCUGCGGCUCUGAGCUGAGCUUUUAGAUCUAUUCGGCUCGUCACCGCUUGGUGAUCUUGGCCCGUUCUUGAUACUGAACUCUGUCUGUAAACUGAGGAAUUGGAGGGUUCUUGUAUGCCCGAUUGAUGCUGCUGCUUUCCAUUUCUGGUGCAUCUUGGUUGGUUCUGGAUACAGAUUAAAGAAUUGUGUCUGUAACCUGAGGAAUACACAAUUUUGCUGAAGAAGAACCUCUGUAUAGUCUUACAAGGUAACUGGGUAUAUCAGGGUUCGGUUUCUUGGAGGGUUUAGAUAGACCUCUGCUCAGCAAAUUUAGAUGUAAUUAGUUUUUAAUGGACAGUGGUGGAAGUUAACAGUUGUGUAGGCAUAGGAGUUCUUGCGUUUAUUUGCUGCAAGUCAGAAUUUUUUUCGUUGUUUUUAUUGUAGUCUGAAGUCUAUUAUGCACCCGAGGCACCGGAGUCCCGGAAACGGGUAUAGGUCUAACCCAAUGGGGAUAGGCAUGGCCUCUCGGAUAUCCCCAGAAUCUUCGGGGAGAGGUCAUAACUUUUACAACUCAGAAUAUCGGAGCUUCAAUCGGAGCUUCGGCCGGAGCUAUAGCCAACCAAAACCAUUCCACCCCUCGCCACCACCGCGGCCACCACAGCAUCCUGUGGCGGCUCCUCUUAGAAAAGCUGAUUUAUUCAUGGAGGCCGGUAGGCUUGCAGCUGAGUACUUGGUGUAUCAGGGGAUGUUGCCGUCUGGCGCACUCUUAGGGAAGUGGCAGAAUGGUAAUUUCAAGGAGCCGCAGGAGUUCAGGUCUCAAGAAGGGGAUGCUGGUCAUAACAUGCAAUUUCCAGUUGAGGGCCGAGGAUCUUCUCUUGGCAGAUCGGGGGAUUCGGGAAGUGAUGGGGGACCAAGCAGGAGAAGGUAUUCUGAUGAGUAUGGGCCUGCAGGAUUUAGAAACAACACAAAGGGGAAGAGGAGAGGAGGAUCAUUUAGGGGAUAUAACUCCGAGUGGGGCCGCGAAUAUGGAAGGAGCAGCUCAUGGUCUGAUCGGCGUAGGGGGUCACCCAGUAUAGAUGCUGAUCGUGAAUACAAUUCAGGGAACCGAGAGGAGCAGUCUGUUACCAAAAAUGACGGCAAUUUGAUGCAGAAGUCAAGUAAUGAAGUGAUGAAGAAUGAAGAAAGCGGUGGAGUUCAAGAAUCUGAAACUAAAGAGCACGAAUCAAAAGCAACCUCUUCUGUUUCCGAGAAGGAAGUCCGAGAUGAGACUGAUGGAGCAGGAGGAGGAGGAGGAGGAGGAGGAGGAGGUGAGCCCCUGAAUAAGAACGAUGAGUUGAGUAUCCCGAAGGAAAAUACUGAUGAAAUGAAGGACAAAGAUGACCCUAGUGAUGGAGAAACUAGGAAAGAGAUCAUUUCUGAGGAGUUGCUUGAGAACAAGCCCUCAGAGAAGCUCUCAGUAACUGAUUUACAGAGUCUCUGCAAAUUUGCCAACAUGCCCACAAAAACCCGAUCUGUGAGGGGCGCGAGGGUGAGCGAAGAGGAGAAAAAUUGUGAUGCCAGUACUUCUCAGGUGUCUGAGGUCUUGAUGGAAGAUAAGGCAGUUGAUAGUUCCAUAAAAAAUGUUGGUGAAACAAGAGGCCUUGAGCUUGAAAUCUCUGAAGUGGGGACUCUUCAGGCUGCUGAGGUAGUCAAUCCAGUGGAUAGAUCUUUGAUGCUUGACGACAAUCAGGAAGUGAGCGAGAAGAGAGGCGAGAAACGGGUGAUUGAAGAAAGUAAUACCAAUGAGGACAUUAAAAGACUUAGAGAAUGGCUCCCUUCGAUGGAUGCUGAGGUUGCAGGCGGGCCCACGACUGAUGAGAAACCAAUUAUGGUUGUUGAGCAACACCAAGAGAGCACAAAGAAUAACCCUCAGAUGUCUGAAAUCGGUGAGGAAUCAUUUGCACAGGAGAAGCAGCUCUUCCCUAGCUCAUUUAAGAUCUGUGACCUCAAUCUCAUGGAAACUUCUGAUGCGAAUGAAACCCGCGACAGAGAUCCGAUCUUCAUGUUCCCACCAGUGACAGAUUUCAAGAAGGAAGUAGGGCCAGUCGACAUUGACCUCUCGAUUAGUAACUCUAGCAUGUCUUCUCAGCCUGCUAAGAAGGUGGAUGACACUGAUCAGGCAAUUGAAGUGAUCAACUUGGAUGAAGACUCUGCUCCAGAAGACAGGGAAUUCGACAUCACCGAGAGAAAGCCAGAUGUUGCAUUCACCGGCUUGGAUGGGUUCUCCACAAACCCCGUGCAGAAUGCCACUGAUAUUCCCGAUAAUCAGGAUGGAUAUGGGCUCAUGAUAUCUGAGCUGCUGGCAAAUGAAUUUUCUGGCUGUUCAUCGGUGCCUGAGGAGAUAAAUCCUCUAGACAACAUGGGCCUCAAUGGUGGAGCGGGUCCUCUGGGAGAUGAUGACUCGAUAUACAUGUCAUUGGGCGAAAUACCAUUCUUAAAGUAGUCUGAUUUGGAAAUUUAAGCAAUCAAGAGGCAGUACCAAAUUCCUUUUUGAAGAGCUAGAGGUAGAUGGAGCUAAAGCUUUGAUCUUAGAAGCCGUGGAAUGCCUGAUAAUCCAAAUACUAUUUUAUGAAGUUUCAUGCGGACGUGGGAGCAACCGCCGCCACAGGAGGAUGGGAAGCCCUUCUGAACAAUGACCCUGCUCUUCUUUACAUAAUAGAACAUGCAUAGUCUCGAGAUGGAGCAAUCAGUAUAUGUGACCCUGCUCCGUAUUCAUAGGUUUCCUCUUUCUUGCCUGCGGCAGCUACUAUGGAGGAGAGGAAAACAACUGCAAUUUCUCCCACAGAAGCUAUUUAGAGAUGUUGGAUGCUCUGUUGCUGCUUUACUGUAUGGACUCCAAAGUUUUUAUCGUGUUAAUUGAUAGAGUCAGUUCUUGGAAGUCUUCGUCUUGGGAUUUUGCUUAAUGUCUUGGGAUAUGGCUAAACGACUGGCAGCUGGUGAGUGGUUCAUGACCGAGAUAGGACUUGAAGUAUGUCUGCGGCAACUCGAGAAAUUUCCGAUUGCCUCGAAAGACUAACCACUUAGAUCUGGGUCAUUCAUUUUUCAUUCUGCACAAAAGGAAGGGAAAGUUUAGUAGCGGUUGCAUUUUCAUGCUAGAGCCAGUAGACAUGGUUGGGUAGGGAUUUCUUAAGGCACCAAGUACUGUACCGGUGCUUUUCAGUUCGACAUGCUACGUUUUAUGAA